rnacentral:rRNA from 1 species
AAUCCUGGAGCUCAACUCCAGAACUGCCAUUGAUACUAUCUAUCUUGAAUAUUGUGGAGGUAAGCGGAAUAUGUCAUGUAGCGGUGAAAUGCUUAGAUAUGACAUAGAACACCCAUUGCGAAGGCAGCUUACUACGCAUAUAUUGACGCUGAGGCACGAAAGCGUGGGGAUCAAACAGGAUUAGAUACCCUGGUAGUCCACGCCCUAAACGAUGGAUACUCGACAUAUGCGAUACACUGUAUGUGUCUCAGCGAAAGCAUUAAGUAUCCCACCUGGGAAGUACGUUCGCAAGAAUGAAACUCAAAGGAAUUGGCGGGGGUCCGCACAAGCGGUGGAGUAUGUGGUUUAAUUCGAUGAUACGCGAGGAACCUUACCUGGGCUAGAAAGUUAGUGAAUAUCCGUGAAAGCGGAUAGACCGAAAGGACACGAAACUAGGUGCUGCAUGGCUGUCGUCAGCUCGUGCCGUGAGAUGUUGGGUUAAGUCCCGCAACGAGCGCAACCCUUGCCAAUAAUUGCCAUCAUUCAGUUGGGCACUUUAUUGGGACUGCCGGGGUCAACUCGGAGGAAGGUGGGGAUGACGUCAAAUCAUCAUGCCCCUUAUGUCUUGGGCUUCACGCAUGCUACAAUGGCCGGUACAAAGGGCUGCAAUACCGUAAGGUGGAGCGAAUCCCAAAAAGC